rnacentral:rRNA from 1 species
GGUGAACGCUAGCGAUAGGCUUAACACAUGCAAGUCGAGGGGCAGCGAGGGUAGCAAUACCUGUCGGCGACCGGCGCACGGGUGAGUAACGCGUAUGUAACCUGCCCGCAACAGGGGGAUAACCCGGCGAAAGUCGGACUAAUACCGCAUAAAACAGGGGUCCCGCAUGGGAAUAUUUGUUAAAGAUUUAUCGGUUGCGGAUGGGCAUGCGUACCAUUAGGUAGUUGGUGAGGUAACGGCUCACCAAGCCUUCGAUGGUUAGGGGUUCUGAGAGGAAGGUCCCCCACACUGGUACUGAGACACGGACCAGACUCCUACGGGAGGCAGCAGUGAGGAAUAUUGGUCAAUGGGCGAGAGCCUGAACCAGCCAAGUCGCGUGAAGGAUGACUGCCCUAUGGGUUGUAAACUUCUUUUACAAGGGAAUAAAAUGAGAUACGUGUAUUUUAUUGCAUGUACCUUGGGAAUAAGCAUCGGCUAACUCCGUG